CGCGCAGGCGGUCGUUCAAGUCGCGUGUGAAAGCCCCCGGCUCAACUGGGGAGGGUCACGCGAUACUGGUCGACUCGAAGGCAGGAGAGGGUAGUGGAAUUCCCGGUGUAGUGGUGAAAUGCGUAGAUAUCGGGAGGAACACCAGUGGCGAAGGCGACUACCUGGCCUGUUCUUGACGCUGAGGCGCGAAAGCUAGGGGAGGCAAACG
rnacentral:rRNA from 1 species